GCCGUAAUAAUAUAGUGGUUAGUAUAUCAGUUUGUGGCACUGAAGACCGAGGUUCGAUUCCUCGUUACGGCA
rnacentral:tRNA from 3 species